GCGAGGGUGGCGGAAUUGGUAGACGCACUGGAUUUAGGUUCCAGCGCCGCAAGGCGUGGGGGUUCGAGUCCCUUCCUUCGCA
rnacentral:tRNA from 1 species